UCAUUAUUUUCCCUUCAAGUGGUAUCAGAGCCAAGGGUUUAUGUUUGAUGUGUCCUUUUGGAUUUUAUGCAUAUGGGUUUUAAUUUUAUGUAUGACAUGUUAUUGCUUCAUUCAAAGUAUAUUUAUCUUUUGUUUUUCAAAUGUUGAAAAAUAUGAAUCAAUAGUUGAAAAGAUAUGUAUGCAAAAGUGUUUUGGAUGCAUGAAUGAAAACUCAUUAUUUUCCCUUCAAGUGGUAUCAGAGCCAAAUGUUUAUGUUUGAUGUGUCCUUUUGGAUUUUAUGCAUAUGGGUUUUAAUUUUAUGUAUGACAUGUUAUUGCUU
rnacentral:lncRNA from 1 species